rnacentral:lncRNA from 1 species
UACAUUUUAUAUUUUGCACUACUAUAAUCACAAAAUGUAUAAAGGUGUCAUGUUAGGCAUUUUGCAACUAAUAACCUGUAUGAUGAUGAUGAUCUAAGAUUGAAUGAUGCUAAAGAAAAGCACUGUUUAUAAAAUAUCUGAUAAAAAUAUUUAUCUCUAUUAACAUUACAACAGGAAGGUACGUGUUACCGAAUUAUGAUCUCACAGAGGGCAGUUUUAGACAAUACUCAGAGGCUCCUCUUUCUCUCCGUCUUGUUUGAAGUCUUUGUUUUCGGCUCCUUCUUCUUCUGCCUCCACCUUGUUUUCAUCACUCCCUUCAUCUACAGCAACCUCUUGCUCUCCUUCUUCCUUUCUAUCCUCUUUUCCACCAUCUUUCUCCUUUCCAUCUUCCUCAUGCAGAUCUUCCUUUCCACCUUCCUCAUGAUGACCUUCCUUCCCAUCUUCCUUACACUGACCUUCCUUUCCAUCUUCCUCAGGCUGAUCUUCCUUUCCAUCUUCCUCAGGCUGACCUUCCUUUUGAUCUUCCUUAGGCUGACCUUCCUCUCCAUCUUCCUCAUGCAGAUAUUCCUUUCCAUCUUCUUCAGGCUGACCUUCCUUUCCAUCUUCCUCAUGCAGAUCUUCCUUUCCAACUUCCUCAUGCAGAUCUUCCUUUCCAUCUUCCUCAGGCUGACCUUCCUUUCCAACUUCCUUGUUUUCCUCCUCUUUGCAUUUCCCAUCAUCCUCCUCGGCUUCCUUGUUUUGUUCUUUUACUUCUUUUUCUGUUCCAGUGUCCCCCUCUUUGUCAUCUUUCUCUUCUUCCUUCUCAUCACCUUCUUCUUUGCCAUCUUCUCCUUUUUCAUUGUCUCCUUUCUCUUCUUCAUCUUUGGACACCUCUGCAUCUUCACUUUUGGCUGUACCUGGUUUCUCGUUUAGGCCUUCUUCUUCUAUUUUUCCGUCUUCCACCUCCUCACCUGUAUCUUUGUGCUCUUUUCCAUCUUCAUCUUUCUCCACAUCUUGAAUGUUUGCUUUUAGCUCAUCAUCUUUGGCUUCUGCUGCCACUGCUUCUUUCUUUUCUCCUCCAUCUUCUUCAGUGUCUUCAUUUAUCUGUUCUUUUACUUCCUCAGCUUCCAUUUUAGGAAUGGGU